rnacentral:rRNA from 1 species
GACGAACGCUGGCGGCGUGCCUAAUACAUGCAAGUAGAACGCUGAAGGAGGAGCUUGCUCUUCUGGAUGAGUUGCGAACGGGUGAGUAACGCGUAGGUAACCUGCCGGUAGCGGGGGAUAACUAUUGGAAACGAUAGCUAAUACCGCAUAACAGUAGAUGUUGCAUGACAUUUACUUAAAAGGUGCAAUUGCAUCACUACCAGAUGGACCUGCGUUGUAUUAGCUAGUUGGUGGGGUAACGGCUCACCAAGGCGACGAUACAUAGCCGACCUGAGAGGGUGAUCGGCCACACUGGGACUGAGACACGGCCCAGACUCCUACGGGAGGCAGCAGUAGGGAAUCUUCGGCAAUGGACGGAAGUCUGACCGAGCAACGCCGCGGGAGUGAAGAAGGGUGUCGGAUCGUAAAGCUCUGUUGUAAGAGAAGAACGAGUGUGAGAGUGGAAAGUUCACACUGUGACGGUAGCUUACCAGAAAGGGACGGCUAACUACGUG